rnacentral:rRNA from 1 species
UUCCGGUUGAUCCUGCCGGAGGCCAUUGCUAUCGGAGUCCGAUUUAGCCAUGCUAGUCGCACGGGUUUAGACCCGUGGCGGAAAGCUCAGUAACACGUGGUCGAACUGCCCUAUGGACCAGGAUAACCUCGGGAAACUGAGGCUAAUCCUGGAUACAGCUCUCAGGCUUGAAUGCGGAGAGCUGGAAACGUUCCGGCGCCAUAGGAUGUGACUGCGGCCGAUUAGGUAGACGGUGGGGUAACGGCCCACCGUGCCGAUAAUCGGUACGGGUUGUGAGAGCAAGAGCCCGGAGACGGUAUCUGAGACAAGAUACCGGGCCCUACGGGGCGCAGCAGGCGCGAAACCUUUACACUGCACGACAGUGCGAUAGGGGGACUCCGAGUGCGAGGGCAUAUAGUCCUCGCUUUUCUGGAUCGUAAGGAGAUCCAGGAACAAGUGCUGGGCAAGACCGGUGCCAGCCGCCGCGGUAAUACCGGCAGCACGAGUGAUGGCCGCUAUUAUUGGGCCUAAAGCGUCCGUAGCCGGCCAGUCAAGUCCGUUGGGAAAUCGGCGCGCCUAACGCGUCGGCGUCCAGCGGAAACUGACUGGCUUGGGGCCGGAAGACCUGAGGGGUACGUCCGGGGUAGGAGUGAAAUCCCGUAAUCCUGGACGGACCACCGGUGGCGAAAGCGCCUCAGGAAGACGGACCCGACGGUGAGGGACGAAAGCUAGGGUCUCGAACCGGAUUAGAUACCCGGGUAGUCCUAGCUGUAAACGAUGCUCGCUAGGUGUGGCGCAGGCUACAAGCCUGCGCUGUGCCGUAGGGAAGCCGUGAAGCGAGCCGCCUGGGAAGUACGUCUGCAAGGAUGAAACUUAAAGGAAUUGGCGGGGGAGCACUACAACCGGAGGAGCCUGCGGUUUAAUUGGAGUCAACGCCGGG